rnacentral:rRNA from 1 species
CCUACGGGAGGCAGCAGUGAGGAAUAUUGGUCAAUGGGCGCGAGCCUGAACCAGCCAAGUCGCGUGAGGGAAGAAGGUCCUAUGGAUUGUAAACCUCUUUUGUCGGGGAGCAAAAGACGCCACGCGUGGCGUUCCGAGAGUACCCGAAGAAAAAGCAUCGGCUAACUCCGUGCCAGCAGCCGCGGUAAUACGGAGGAUGCGAGCGUUAUCCGGAUUUAUUGGGUUUAAAGGGUGCGCAGGCGGAAGAUUAAGUCAGCGGUAAAAGUGAGAGGCUCAACCUCGUCGAGCCGUUGAAACUGGUUUUCUUGAGUGAGCGAGAAGUAUGCGGAAUGCGUGGUGUAGCGGUGAAAUGCAUAGAUAUCACGCAGAACUCCGAUUGCGAAGGCAGCAUACCGGCGCUCAACUGACGCUCAUGCACGAAAGUGUGGGUAUCGAACAGGAUUAGAUACCCCGGUAGUC